rnacentral:rRNA from 1 species
UCGAGCGCACAUAAGGAAGCUUGCUCCCUCAUGUUAGCGGCGGACGGGUUUCUAACACGUGCGUAACCUGCCUGUAGGAUGGGAUUACUCCUGAAACCAGACCUAAUACCGGAUAGUUCUUGAUCCGCAUGGUUCACGGAUGAACGACGGUUUCUGCUGUUACUUACUAUGGAUCCGCGGCCCAUUAGUUCGUUGGUGAGGCAACGGCUCACCAAGGCGACGAUGCGUAGCCGACCUGACAGGGUGAUCUGCCACACUGGGACUGAGACACGGCCCAGACUCCUACGGGAGGCAGCUUUUGGACUCUUCCUCAAUGGACUAAAGUCUGACGGAGCAACCCCCCGAGAGUGAUGAAGGUUUUCUUAUCGUAAAGCUCUCUUUUUAGCGAAUAACCAAGUGCUACUGUAACUGCUUGCACCUUGACGGUACCUCACCAGAAAGCCCCGGCUAACUACGUCCCAGCAGCCGCGGUAAUACGUAGGUGGCAAGCGUUGUCCGGAAUUAUUGGGCGUAAAGGGCUCGCAGGCGGUUUCUUAAGUCUGAUGUGAAAACCCCCGCCUCACCCGGGGAGGGUCAUUGGAAACUGGGAAAUCUCGAGUGCAGAAGAGGAGAGUGGAAUUCCACGUGUAGCGGUGAACAUCUCGUAGGGGAUGCGGAGGACACC